rnacentral:lncRNA from 1 species
GUGAGUGCUACGGGGCGGUAGUCAUUUAGGCAGGUUACCUUCGCUUUCUUGGCACAGGGACUAUGUUGGUCUGCUUGAAACAUGUCGGUAUUACAGACUCGGUCAGGGAGAGGUGAAAAUGUCAGUGAAGACACUUGCCAGUUGGUCCGUGCAUGCUCUGAGUACACGUCCUGGUAAUCCGUCUAGCCCCGCGGCCUCGUGAAUGUUGACCUGUUUAAAGUUCUUGCUCACAAUGGCUACGGAGAGCGUGAUCACACAGUUGUCCGGAACAGCUGGUGCUCUCAUGCAUGCUUCAGUGUUGCUUUCCUCGAAGUGAGCAUAAAAGGCAUUUAGCCCAUCUGGUAGGCUUGCGUCACAGGCAGCUCGUGGCUGGGUUUCCCUUUGUAGUCCAUAAUAGCCUUUAGCUCGAUGCGGAUGCUGCCUGUAAUCCAUGGCUUCUGGUUGGGAUAUGUACGUACGGUCACUGUGGGGAGGAUGUCAUCGAUGCACUUAUUGAUGAAGCCGGUGACUGAGGUGGUGUACUCAAAUCCAUUGGAUGAAUUCUGGAACAUAUUCCAGUCUGCUAGUUAAACAGUCCUGCAGCAUAGCACUGCGUCAUCUGACCACUUCCGUAUUGAGCGAGUCACUGGUACUUCCUGCUUUAAUUUUUGCUUGUAAGCAGGAAUCAGGAGGAUAGAAUUAUGGUCAGAUUUUCCAAAUGGAUGGCAAGGGAGAGCUUUGCAUGCGUCUUUGUGUGUGGAGUAAAGGUGGUCUAGUUUUUUUCCCCCUCUGGUUGCACAUGUGACAUGCUGGUAGAAAUGAGGCCACUAGGAGCGCCGCUUCUGGAUGAGCAUUUUCUGGUUUGCUUAUGGCCUUAUACAGCUUGUUGAGUGCGGUCUUAGUGCCAGCGUUGGUUUGUGGUGAUAAAUAUACGGAAAACCCAGCCAACUGCAUAUUAUCCAUGUUGUCAUUCAGUCACGACUCGGUGAAACAUCAGCGAUUACAGUUUUUAAUGUCCCAUUGGUAGGAUAGUCUCGAAUGGAGCUCAUCCAGUUUAUUCUCCAGUGAUUGCACAUUGGCCAAUAGAACUGACGGUAGAGGCAGGUUACCCACUCGCUGACUAAUUCUCACAAGGCACCCUGAUCUGCGCUCCCUGUAUCUCCUACUUUUCUACAUGCGAAUGACGGGGAUUUGUAUGGAACGCCGUUUGGGUCUUAAAGCACGUGGUCAAAACGCGAUAUUUUUAAUGCUGCGUGUGUAAAGUAAGCAGGUGCAGGCGCUAAAUUAACACGUGCAGGCACUAAAUUAACGUGUGCAGGUGCUAAAUUAAUGUGCGCACGCGUUAAAUGAACACCUAUACGCAUCAAAUAAGUGCGUGCAAAUGUGCUAAAUAAACGGCUGCAAGCCGUCCUGCACACGUCAAAUUAACGCCAACAGCUGCUAAAUAUACACCUACACACGCUAACUUAACGGGUUCUUUAAUUAAUAUGCUAAUUUUACCAGCCAAUUUCCCUAGCUCCUCCUUUCAUUAAAUUAGUGUACAGUCAGUUUGAUGCAACAACACCACAAUUGAAGAUGGCGAGAAGGAACUUACAUAUCCGCUGCAAACUUGAUGCCCUUCAGUCCACGUUAAGAAGACUUGGCUCUGGAUGAAAAGAUUAAGGACUUGGUGGUUGGGAACGACAAACGUGGACCGGAGGCUGUUCGAUCACAAUUAAGGGCUCUGGGUUCAGAGACGCAGAGUGAGGGACAGCAUGCUUCGUGUUAAAAGAGCCAUGUCGCAGAGGCUGCAUAGAAGGUCAUGUCGUGUUGCUGGACCAAACUCGUUAUGGCACCUUGAUGGAAACCACAAACUGAUAAGGUGGAGGAUAGUCAUACAUGGUGGCAUUGAUGGGUUCAGCCGUCUCAUUGUUUCUCCGUGCUUCCAGCAACAAUCGCAGCAGUACUGUAAUGGAUUGCUUCAUAAAUGCUGUCUCCAGAUAUGGCGUUCCCUCCAGAGUUAGGACGGACCAUUGAGGAGAAAACAACACUGUCUGCUUGAUGAAUACUACUUCUACAAACGAGGCUACACUUGUGGCAGCACCUAUUCCUGUGGCCCCCCCAUCUUCUGCACCACUUCUUGUGGCCCCCCUCCACCAUUCCCUGAGGCUUAUCGUCCACCUUCACCACACUCUUCUGUUGAUGUUGGUGAUGACAAUGAUGUUGACCUCCAAACACUGCUGAAGUUAAUGAGAUGCCAACCGAAUUAACGUGAUGAGGGACAACGUUUAUGAUUGUGCAAUGAGAGGCUUUAAGAGAGCCCGCUUUAAUCCGGAGGCAAAAAUAGACAUGGUUUUUAGGGAUGGUGACGGAAAAGGGGCAGCUGAUGAGGGUGGUCCCUCAAGAGAAUUUCUCUGGCUGCUAAUGAGUGCCAUCCAUUCCUUUGCAAUAUUUGAGGGACCUGAUUGGCAAAAAUGCCUUUCUUGCAACUCUCAAGCACUCUAUGAUGGCGUAUACAAGCAGGUGGGCCACAUGAUUGCUGUCUGUCUAGUACAUGGGGGUGUAAAGACACAUUUUUUCAGAGGCUAUACAGGCAAGUAUAUGGCCUACAACCUCCUGUGCCAGAAAUGAAAGAAAUGGUGGAAUAUAACUUAAGAGAGAAGUUGGAGAAGGUAAGUACUUUAUACUGUGAUGGAUGCUAUGUUACUGUUCAUUUGCACUAAGUUCGAAAAAAAAUAUUAGGGUUGUAGAUGUUCAUGAAGACUUUUCCACAUGGAUUUGGUUUCCUUUUGUUGGCAGUCAAUGUUUUUUAAGGGUAGUGAUAAUCAGUUUAUUUUGCUAAUUUUUCCCAAAACACUGUUCAAUAAACAAACAAUUUAAGAUCCAGUUAGCACAAACUGUUGACGAGGCACAGGAAGCGGUCGAGUUGGGUCCAGUGCGAUACAUUCGUACAUUGGAGAGGGAUGCCAUGGUGGAGUCAGCCACAAAGUUCUACUUAGAAAGCAGGAUAUGGGAUGCUCUUGAGUAGUGAGUCUCAAGUUUAGUUAAAUUCUUCAGGGUUAAUUCAUUGACUUUUUUUACUUUAUAGAUUCAAAGAGGUCUGGAGUGUCUAGGUCUCCUGCCUUACAUGAAUAGACACUGAAGCCUCUUCAGAGAGUGUUUCAUCUACGCUGAGAAACCUCUUUUGGCCAGACAUAGCUUCUCUCUUCAAAGCAGAGUGCUCUCCACAUGGUACCAAUCAAAGAGCAAUAGAGAGAAGAGUCAUAUGUUUCUGGGGGGACUGGCUUCUGGAGGUGGAAGGUUAGAUGCAAAACCAUGAUCAUUGAAGUAACACGGCCCACAUCAGUAAAACAUCACCUAAUCACUCUCACAACUGUGGGACAGCAUUUUAUAGCCUUAUUCUUCCAUGGUCCCCCUAAGAAUGUAAUGGAUAAAUGAAAUCCCAAACUACCUUCACUUAGAGUAUUGUGCUCUCCAACAAGUGUUACUUAUGGACUUUAAUGACCCCCCCUUCCCUUUUUUUCAGGGGGAACACAUACCCUUCUCCAUGGAGAAGGUUUUCAUUUUCACUUCGGGGGUUUCAGCAUUCCUAGGCUGGGAUUGCCAGUGGAGCCACAGCUACAGUUCUAUCUGCUACCACACAGCAAGUGGUACCGGAGCGCCAAGUCUAUGUCCAAGAGGCUUCUAAACAGAUUCUACCCCCAAGCCAUAAGACUACUGAACAUCUAAUCAAAUGGCUACCCAGACUAUUUGCUGCUACUAUCUAUGCAUAGUCACUUUAAUAUCUCUACCUACAUAUAUAUAUAUUAACUUGACUAACCGGUGCCCCCGAACAUUCCCUGUACCGGUAUCCCCUGUACAGUAUAUAGCCUCGCUAUUGUUAUUUUACUGAUGCUCUUUAAUUAUUUACUCUUUUUGUCGUUUUUUUUAAACUGCAUUUUUGGUUAAGGGUUUUUAAAUAAGCAUUUCACUGUUGUAUUUGGCGCAUGUGACAAAUUCAAUUUGAUUUAAAGAAUUCAUUUAAGGGGAAUUAUCCAAAACGUUUAUUGCAUGACUACCUAGUAAGUUCGGAAUACUGCAGCCAAUGUUAAUUGGUGAUGUGUCCCAAAAGAAUUGAUAUUAUUAAAGUUUCCGACCGGAUUGUCCAUCAGCAAAAAAAGUUGUGCAGUGAAAGUUUUCAAAAACAUUACAACCAACCAGAAUCAAUUGGACACAGUAAUAAAUAAUGCAGAUUUAAUAAAUGUAUGAUUUCUUAGUGGGUAAACUGAGCAUUAUGCAUAGUUAAGUCAUGUAUGUCAAGGGACUGUUACAAUAUGUGCAAUGUUACCAUAAAUAAAUCCUACCGUAAAUAUGUACAUUUCAUUUACAUGUGUAAUGGCAAUAAAAGACACUGUAGUUGGUACAUAGGUCGUGGUGGAGCAAGUUUGAGGGUAGUGGAGAAGCACAAGUGGGACUUUGAGUGAAGUAACUGAAGGCAGAAAAGGAUAUCAGGGUGCCCAGGAACUUGAAGCUGCUGAUCAUCUCCAUGUCAAUGUACAGUAGAUGGGAGAAUGGUCAAGUAUCACCAUGUACUUUGUUUUGUUUACGCUGAGACUGUUGUCCUAUCAUCAUUAUGUCAGGUCCCACAGCUCCUUCAUGUACUCAUGUGUACCAUGGUAGUGUCGGGUCCCACAGCUCCUUCAUGUACUCAUGUGUACCAUGGUAGUGUCGGGUCCCACAGCUCCUUCAUGUACUCAUGUGUACCAUGGUAGUGUCAGGUCCCAGAGCUGCUUCAUGUACUCAUGUGUACCAUGGUAGUGUUGGGUCCCACAGCUCCUUCAUGUACUCAUGUGUACCAUGGUAGUGUCACGUCAAUUCUGGGGAUACACAUUCUUAUGAUAAUGUAAAAAAUCGAAAUUUGUUAUUACAGGAUUUACACCCAGAGCCCUGAGUCUGCAAACCAGUUUGUGGGUCAGGAUGGCGUUGAAAGCAGAGCUAUAAAAUAAAAUGCACUCUGACGUAUGUAAAAAUGUAUAAUUGACAUUUGUUGGGACAAUAGGCAAACUGGAGUUGUACAUUGUGCUACACUAUCUAUUGUUCCAGUUUUUUUAAAUUGAUAUCGACUGGGCUGCAGUGGAGAUGGUAAGAAGCAUUGAUAUCAUAGGGACCUAACUUCUAACGUCCUUUCCUGGUACACCCACAGACACUGCAGUCAAAUGCCAACCAGCGGCUCUCCGUCCUACAGUGGCUGAAGAUGUUUUGCCUGACGUCAAACAUUAACAAGAGUGUCAGAUUGAAGUGUCUGGAAAAAACGUAAACAUAACCAUAAGAGCAGAUGACUUUGUCAUCUUUACUGGCACAGUUUAAAAAUGUCUAAUUGUAGUCCCUUUCAAUUGAUUCAUUGACUCCAAGAACCAUAGAUUGUUUGUAGUUCAUAACAUUAACACAGCUGACAAACGUUGCUUGACUGUAAAUUGGGAUACAUGUUUGAAUAACAUUGGAUAUUUGAUUGGGCUUAAUGUUGUACACCUUGUCAUGUUGUGCAUGCAUGCCAACCAGGUGAGAAUCACCAGAAUUAAUUGAUACUUGAUGAAUCAGGUCUUCUCUGCUGCUUUAUCAGCAUCCCCCUUGCCCACUCCAAGCUCCUCUUCAUGGUUCCCUUCUGCAAGACACAAUUGUGGGAAAAUAAAGUGGAAGGAAUGGGAACCCUAUUCCUUUGAAGCAGUACUGUGUAUAUGCCUGAAGUUAUUUUACCCUGAUAAGCUUCGAAGGAAUAUAAAUAUUCAAAAUGUGAACGUACACAUUAAAGUCUACUCUGUUCGAAAGCUGACAUGUAACGUUAGACGUUAGCAAAGGUUUUACAAGGUUGUCACUAGCCAAAUUUGCUUUAUGUGAGCUUUUCUGUCUUCAUGCUAAUCGCGAGCUAGCGCGGCUAACGCUAGCAUUUAAAUGAAAGCCAGUCAGGCUGAAGAAGUUGCUGACCUUAAGUUGUUGUUUUGCUUAAAUACAAGGCUUUGGGCUAAAAACGGAACUCAAAAACAUGUCCUGCUUCAGUACUAGCCGAUAAGUCACAUUUAGGUAGCUUUGAAGGAAUAUAAAUAUUCAAAAAGUGAACGUGCACAUUAAAGUCUACUCUGUUCGAAAGCUGACAUGUAACGUUAGACGUUAGCAAAGGUUUACAAGGUUGUCACUAGCCAAAUUUGCAAAAUAAAGACAAUAGUCCAAAAAUCUAGAACUACCAGGAUUUUGAGCAUCUCCGUUGUCUCAUCUAUGUAUGCCUGGUCCUGCAUUCAAGCAACAAUCUUGCUAGUAUGUAAUUUACCUUGAUGGUAUCAAAAGUCCAAUGUGUUUUCGUGGCUGUUAUAGUUUACAUGUUUUUUCAGCAGGGCUUUUAAUAAAACACAACACGGUGCCGUUCACUGCGGCUAGCAGUAUGACCAGGCAAAGUUUGAGGCUAACUAUAUGAUAUAAUAUGGCUGGGGUUCGAGGCUACCGACGUUAGCUAAAUUAGCUAGCAAGUAUCUGACUUAGCUUAUGCUAAGCACUGCUGAUCCUGGUGCUAGAUUAAUGUUAGCUGCAUUUUAUAGCCAGUGAUGAGAAACAGAUCCUUCCACUGUAAACUAGCUGAUAAACCUUACGAUUCAGUAACAACAAAUUUCAAAGACAAAACCAUUACCUUGUAAAGGUUCAAACUCUGCUUGCAGUGGAAAAGGAAGUUCCUUCAAACUGUGAAAUCUGGUUGAAAGGAGGAGGGAGGGAAAUUGGCUAGUAAAAUUAGCAUAUUAAAGAAUGCGUUAAGUUAGCGUGUGUAGGUGUAUAUUUAGC